UUUCCGUAGGUGAACCUGCGGAAGGAUCAUUACAGUAGUCACCCAGGUUGCCGCAAAGCCUCCUGGGUAACCUACCACCCUUUGUUUAUUACACUUUGUUGCUUUGGCAAGCCUGCCCUCGGGCUGCUGGCUCCGGCCGGCGAGCGCUUGCCAGAGGACCUAAACUCUGUUUGUCUAUACUGUCUGAGUACUAUAUAAUAGUUAAAACUUUCAACAACGGAUCUCUUGGUUCUG
rnacentral:misc_RNA from 1 species